UCCUGUUAGCAGGCCAGCGGGCUGGAAAGAAGAUCAAAAAGCAUGUCUGGGAAUGUGACUGAUGGACAGUGCAGUGGAGAUGAAAGGACCUGCAACUCCAGCCUCUUGGGAAGAGUCACAGAAAGCAGAAGAUGGAUGGCCUGGGGAGGAGAGCUCCAGCAAAGGCUUCCUGCAUAGACCAUCAGAACUGUUCUGAGGCAGAGAUGUGCAUGAGCCCUUUCCCUUUGGUCAUGAAUUAGAACUUCAGCUAAUGUUUUUGAUUUAAG
rnacentral:lncRNA from 12 species